GAAAUGCGAUAAGUAAUGUGAAUUGCAGAAUUCAGUGAAUCUUCGAAUCUUUGAACGCACAUUGCGCCCGCCAGUAUUCUGGCGGGCAUGCCUGUCCGAGCGUCAUUUCAACCAUCAAGCCCCCGGGCUUGUGUUGGGGACCUGCGGCUGCCCGCAGGCCCUGAAAACCAGUGGCGGGCUCGCUGUCACACCGAGCGUAGUAGCAAUCACCUCGCUCAGGGCGUGCUGCGGGUUCCGGCCGUUAAACAGCCUUACAAAACCCAAGGUUGACCUCGGAUCAGGUAGGAAGACCCGCUGAACUUAAGC
rnacentral:misc_RNA from 1 species